GGAAAAAAGGAGAGACCUAUCACGGGGAUGAUCAUAACCCUUUGUUGUCCGACUCUGUUGCCUCCGGGGCGACCCUGCCUUCGGGCGGGGGCUCCGGGUGGACACUUCAAACUCUUGCGUAACUUUGCAGUCUGAGUAAACUUAAUUAAUAAAUUAAAACUUUUAACAACGGAUCUCUUGGUUCUGGCAUCGAUGAAGAACGCAGCGAAAUGCGAUAAGUAAUGUGAAUUGCAGAAUUCAGUGAAUCAUCGAAUCUUUGAACGCACAUUGCGCCCCCUGGUAUUCCGGGGGGCAUGCCUGUUCGAGCGUCAUUUCACCACUCAAGCCUCGCUUGGUAUUGGGCAUCGCGGUCCGCCGCGUGCCUCAAAUCGACCGGCUGGGUCUUCUGUCCCCUAAGCGUUGUGGAAACUAUUCGCUAAAGGGUGUUCGGGAGGCUACGCCGUAAAACAACCCCAUUUCUAAGGUUGACCUCGGAUCAGGUAGGGAUACCCGCUGAACUUAAGCAUAUCAAUAAG
rnacentral:rRNA from 1 species